rnacentral:tRNA from 1 species
AAGGCUUUAGCUUAAUUAAAGUGUUUGUUUUGCAUGCAGAAUAUGUAGGGUAAAGUCCUGCAAGUCUUA